UCUCCACCACAUAUUCCAUUCUCGUGUAAUCUUAAAGCGAAGAGGUCGAGUCAAAAUGGUCUGUUUUAGAAGGUCUUCCAAAUUCAGCAGGGACAAAUAACCUAGUUAGGGUUUCCCAGGGGAUGCAAAGUAGUUUUGAGGGUUUGAGGGAGUAGAGGUUAGGGUUUAAAUAGAAACAGACAACGCUGAUUAAAAUGUAUGGGCACAGCUUCGUUCGAUAAUUUCGCUCUUUAGGUUUUCCUUUUCUUUUUUACUCUCGCAGAAGAGUUUUAAUUGUUUUAUCAUUGUUUUUAGGAUAUACGAGAUCUUUUUUCUCUCUUUCAAUUUAUUUUCCCUUUUUUCCGUAGGUUUGAUUUAUUUAUUCUUUUAAUUUAUUUGAUGGAAAUUACGUUUUGAUUGCACCUGUUCUCAGGAUUGCAUUGUGGGUGAUUGGUUUUUGCGUUGAGAUAGCCGUAGUUUUUUUUUAACAUAUUUACAGUCUGUAUAAUAUUGGAUUCUUUCGAUUCUGUUUUAGCUCCUGAAGAUUAUAAUGAUAGGUCUAGGUAGUUUUAGAUUCUGUUUCCCUCUUCUUAAAAGUCGGUUCUUUUAUUUUUAAGGUUAAACAAAAGGAUCACUAUCAGUAGUAAUAUUAUGUUUUUAUAAGUACAGCUGCUAAUGACAGGUGGUUGGCUGCACUUAAAGUACCAAAUCGGGGCUGUCUUACAUUGAAAUUUCCCUAAUUUCCUAUGUCUUAGUUAUUGGCUGUUUUGUUGUGGCGGGGAUAUUAAAUGGGUCUCUCUUAAAAUCUUAUGUUAUAGAGAUGGCUACAGAUCCUCUACGACCAUUCCAUUUGCAACUUUUGUAAUGUCUUAUUAUGGUUUGCGAAAGAUAACUCAUUAGUUGCCUUAUCUCGUUUUGGCCUGGACACUCGUGAGAAUAUUAGGCUUACUUUCAGGUACACUGGGGUGUGCUUUGCGAGCCUCUUGCAGAUAAUUCUGAGCAUGUUGAAAGGUGAUGGAAGCUCACCUGUAUUUAGUGGUCCUUUUGUUUUAGAAGUGAGUUGAUGUUUCACAAACUUCCUCAAAUCAUUUCUAAAACUAGAGGAAUUCCACUGAAUGCCUUUUACAAUACAAUAUGCUGUAUGAUAGUCUAAAUUGCUUAUAAUAAGUAAUGGGAUCCAUUUGCUCAGAAUGCUUUCAUCUGCAUUAUAAAAUGGUGAGACAAUAGUUAUCCUCAAAGUAUUGGUUGAUGAAAUGUAUGCCGUGGUCUUAAUAACUGAGCACUUCAUUUUAGAAUUUGGAUUGCUCUAAAUUGUAUUAAUGAGAAUCUUGAGAAAGUAAACAUGAGGUGAGUAUGGAAGAGAAUGCUGUUGGGGUUGAAGGUAUCUUUUUAUGGUAGUACCUUAGACGUGGAAUGCAACAAAUUGGCAUUGAAUAUUAAAUUUUGGUUUAGCAUUAAUGAUUUUGUGUUUUCUUGUAGGUUCCUUGGUAAUCAUUCUCCGAGAAAUAUGAAAUAAGAGCAAUAAUUAUAUAUUUUCCAACACGGAUAUUGUUUCACAUCGACAUUAUUUAGUUUCCAUCUUCAGAACUGUACCACUUAUCGUUACGUUAAUUGGUUGAGCUCCUAGAGAUAAGUUUGCUUUACUGUUAGAGCUCCAUUCAAGAAUGCUUUGUAUUGUUAGAAACGUGAGCACUGACGUGUCUUCAAAACAUUUUUAGAAGAUGACUUGGUAAGUCUUACUUAAAGCAGGCGUGUUUUUUCUUGCUUGUCCAUUCAAUUGACAUGGUGUUUGUUUUCUCUGGAUUUGGUUUAUCUGCAAUUGUUCCCUGCCUGCAAGGCAAUGAGAAAUGAUAACAAAGUUUUGUGUCUCAAUUCAGAUCUGGGCUGUACCAGUAAGUGGUUUGCUUUUAAAUCUGAGCUGUUCCAGUAAGUGGUUUGUCUUUAAAUCUGAGCUAUUACAUGGCUCCUAAGCUGUAGAAUUUACCCCUCCUGUCAUUUAUAUUCAUAUAUGGCUGGGGUCUUAGUGGGCACUGUACUAGACAAGAGUGCAAAGGUUUUGCCUGGGUUCCUGAAUCACCAUUUCCUUCUAGGCCGAGGAAUACAAGAUGUGAAGCAAGAUAUUUUAAUGAAGACCCAAUCAGAAGAUGGUGGGGAGUUUACAUGCCAAAGAUGAAAAAUUCAGGCUUAAUUAUGACUUUCAUACAUGUUGUGCACUAUCAGGAUCUGGAUGUGUCUUAAACUGAUAUGAACUUUCUCAGCUUCUUCUUGAUAUGUUUGACAAGAAAACCAGUGAUAUUUAUUACAUGAAGAUGAGAAAAUUGCGGAAAAAUGUGCUUGCAAUUAUAAGGAUAGAAGAUUUUACA